rnacentral:rRNA from 1 species
UACGUAGGGUGCGAGCGUUGUCCGGAAUUACUGGGCGUAAAGAGCUCGUAGGCGGUUCGUCGCGUCGGCUGUGAAAUCCCGAGGCUCAACCUCGGGUCUGCAGUCGAUACGGGCGGACUGGAGUUCGGCAGGGGAGACUGGAAUUCCUGGUGUAGCGGUGAAAUGCGCAGAUAUCGGGAGGAACACCAGUAGCGAAGGCGACACUCUGGGCCGGUACUGACGCUGAGGAGCGAAAGCGUGGGGAGCAAACAGG